GGCGGACGGGUGACUAUCGCGUGGGAAUCUGCCUGGUAGUGGGGGACAACUCGGGGAAACUCGAGCUAAUACCGCAUACGCCCACGGGGGAAAGCGGGGGAUCUUCGGACCUCGCGCUCCCAGAUGAGCCCGCGUCGGAUUAGCUAGUUGGUGGGGUAAAGGCCCACGAAGGCGACGAUCCGUAGCUGGUCUGAGAGGAUGAUCAGCCACACUGGGACUGAGACACGGCCCAGACUCUCUACGGGAGGCAGCAGUGGGGAAUAUUGGUCAAUGGGGGCAACCCUGAUCCAGCCAUGCCCCGUGUGUGAAGAAGGCCUUCGGGUUGUAAAGCACUUUCAUCGGGAGGAAGGGGUGUUGGUUAAUACCCAACAUCAUUGACGUUACCGACAGAAGAUGCACCGGCUAACUCCGUGCCAGCAGCCGCGGUAAUACGGAGGGUGCGAGGGUUAAUCGGAAUUACUGGGCGUAAAGCGCGCGUAGGCGGUUAGUAAAGCUGGAUGUGAAAGCCCCGGGCUCAACCUGGGAAACUGCAUUCAGAAGUGGCUGGCUAGAGUACGAGAGAGGGUAGUGGAAUUUCCUGUGUAGCGGUGAAAUGCGUAGAUAUAGGAAGGAACAUCAGUGGCGAAGGCCACUGC
rnacentral:rRNA from 1 species